rnacentral:lncRNA from 1 species
CUCAGUGGGUUAGAAAGACUUGUUUCUGAAUGGUGAAUAGACUUUCCCAAUUCCUUCAGGGUACAUCUGGCUGGUGUCUUGAUCACUACAAAUGCUAGUGACCAAGACAGAGGAUCUGCAGAUGACUUGUCUCCCCCACCCAGGGACCAGGUCAUGGAAACUGGAAAAGCCAGUGGAAACCAGGCAGACACAGUUCAUAAGGAGAAUACAGUGGAUCUCUCAAACAACCCCAGACAUCCCCCUACCACGAUGUCAAGGCAAAGGAGUCCACUGAAUUGUAUUCACCAGAUGGUCAGGCUACAGGGACACAGCCAUUCUGUCCCUCUGCUCAGGACAACUGUGAAAAGCUCCUCUCUGGGAGACUGGCAACAUUAGAAAGAUUAUAAACGUGGCCACUGAGACUGUAGCUCAGUACUGGCCCAUUACUGGAGAAGACCAGGCCCACUGUUGCAUUUUAAACACUGCAUAUCCUUCAACCCUCUAAACCUUUCAGUGCCUAGCCUACACAUGUGUGCACACCUGCACACUUACAAAAUGCACUCACACCCGACUGAUCAGCAGAGCUGAAGCCCAGAAAUAAGAAGCAUUUUUUUCAAUAGAUGGUUAAGGAAACUGUGGAACAUGUGUACCACAGAAAGUGGGUGUUCUUGGUGGACUGCUAUAGACAGAAGUGAGGAAGACCAAGUCCAGAAGAAAUGCUUGGACCGUUUGGAUAAACAGCAUGGGUUGCACAAGCACCUGCCUGUCUGUUCAGAAGUGAGAAUGGGCUCCCUCCAGCAGACAGAAGAAAAGACUGGAGAACAACUUAACCCAAGCCAAGCUCCCCAACUCCUUAAAUAAUCCAUACGGCAACUAGAAAAUGAUCUAGUCAUGAAGGGUUUGGCAAGAUGGAACAGCAGGUAAAAGCGCUUACCACGCCAGCCUGACAACAAGAAUCAGGUUCUUG